rnacentral:rRNA from 1 species
CCUACGGGGGGCAGCAGUGGGGAAUAUUGGACAAUGGGGGGAACCCUGAUCCAGCCAUGCCGCGUGUGUGAAGAAGGCCCUCGGGUUGUAAAGCACUUUCAGUGAGGAAGAACGCCUGGUGGUGAAUACCCAUCAGGAAAGACAUCACUCACAGAAGAAGCACCGGCUAACUCCGUGCCAGCAGCGCGGUAAUACGGAGGGUGCGAGCGUUAAUCGGAAUUACUGGGCGUAAAGGCGCGUAGGUGGCUUGAUAAGCCGGUUGUGAAAGCCCCGGGCUCAACCUGGGAACGGCAUCCGGAACUGUCAAGCUAGAGUGCAGGAGAGGAAGGUAGAACUCCCGGUGUAGCGGUGAAAUGCGUAGAGAUAGGGAGGAAUACCAGUGGCGAAGGCGGCCUUCUGGACUGACACUGACACUGAGGUGCGAAAGCGUGGGUAGCAAACAGGAUUAGAUACCCUAGUAGUC